UGGGGAAUAUUGCACAAUGGGGGAAACCCUGAUGCAGCGACGCCGCGUGAACGAAGAAGGUAUUCGUAUCGUAAAGUUCUGUCCUAUGGGAAGAUAAUGACAGUACCAUAGAAGAAAGCUCCGGCUAAAUACGUGCCAGCAGCCGCGGUAAUACGUAUGGAGCGAGCGUUGUCCGGAAUUAUUGGGCGUAAAGGGUACGCAGGCGGUUUAAUAAGUCGAAUGUUAAAGAUCGGGGCUCAACCCCGCAAAGCAUUGGAAACUGAUAAACUUGAGUAGUGGAGAGGAAAGUAGAAUUCCUAGUGUAGUGGUGAAAUACGUAGAUAUUAGGAGGAAUACCAGUAGCGAAGGCGACUUUCUGGACACAAACUGACGCUGAGGUACGAAAGCGUGGGGAGCAAACAGG
rnacentral:rRNA from 1 species